rnacentral:rRNA from 1 species
UACAGAGGUCUCAAGCGUUGUUCGGAUUCAUUGGGCGUAAAGGGUGCGUAGGCGGCGCGGUAAGUCGGGGGUGAAAUCUCGGAGCUUAACUCCGAAACUGCAUUCGAUACUGCCGUGCUUGAGGACUGGAGAGGAGACUGGAAUUCCCGGUGUAGCGGUGAAAUGCGUAGAGAUCGGGAGGAACAUCAGUGGCGAAGGCGGCCAUCUGGGACAACACUGACGCUGAAGCACGAAAGCGUGGGGAGCAAACAGG